rnacentral:rRNA from 1 species
CCUACGGGGGGCAGCAGUGGGGAAUAUUGGACAAUGGGGGCAACCCUGAUCCAGCCAUGCCGCGUGUGUGAAGAAGGCCCUCGGGUUGUAAAGCACUUUCAGUGAGGAAGAACGCCUGGUGGUUAAUACCCAUCAGGAAAGACAUCACUCACAGAAGAAGCACCGGCUAACUCCGUGCCAGCAGCCGCGGUAAUACGGAGGGUGCGAGCGUUAAUCGGAAUUACUGGGCGUAAAGCGCGCGUAGGUGGCUUGAUAAGCCGGUUGUGAAAGCCCCGGGCUCAACCUGGGAACGGCAUCCGGAACUGUCAAGCUAGAGUGCAGGAGAGGAAGGUAGAAUUCCCGGUGUAGCGGUGAAAUGCGUAGAGAUCGGGAGGAAUGCCAGUGGCGAAGGCGGCCUUCUGGACUGACACUGACACUGAGGUGCGAAAGCGUGGGUAGCAAACAGGAUUAGAUACCCGAGUAGUC